CCCUGAUGCACAAGGUACCAAAAAAUGAACUUUGAAAAUUUUUAAUUAAUUAAAAAUUUUCAUAAUUCCCUUACAGUUAAUUAAGAAAAAUAUUUCUUUAUAAAUACAUAAUUAUAUAACAUUUUUGUGAAUUCUUAUAACCAUUUUAAUUUUGAUCAAAAU
rnacentral:rRNA from 1 species